AUAACGUGCGGGUGCUAUACAUGCAGUCGAACGAGUUCUGAUUAUUGAAAGGUGCUUGCAUCUUGAUUUAAUUUUGAACGAGUGGCGGACGGGUGAGUAACACGUGGGUAACCUGCCCUUAAGUGGGGGAUAACAUUUGGAAACAGAUGCUAAUACCGCAUAAAUCCAAGAACCGCAUGGUUCUUGGCUGAAAGAUGGCGUAAGCUAUCGCUUUUGGAUGGACCCGCGGCGUAUUAGCUAGUUGGUGAGGUAACGGCUCACCAAGGCAAUGAUACGUAGCCGAACUGAGAGGUUGAUCGGCCACAUUGGGACUGAGACACGGCCCAAACUCCUACGGGAGGCAGCAGUAGGGAAUCUUCCACAAUGGACGCAAGUCUGAUGGAGCAACGCCGCGUGAGUGAAGAAGGCUUUCGGGUCGUAAAACUCUGUUGUUGGAGAAGAAUGGUCGGCAGAGUAAUCGUGUUGUCGGCGUGACGGUCAUUCCAAACAGAAAAGCCACGGCUAACUACGUGCCAGCAGCCGCGGUAAUACGUAGGUGGCAAGCGUUAUCCGGAUUUAUUGGGCGUAAAGCGAGCGCAGGCGGUUUUUUAAGUCUGAUGUGAAAGCCCUCGGCUUAACCGAGGGAAGUGCAUCGGAAACUGGGAAACUUGAGUGCAGAAGAGGACAGUGGAACUCCAUGUGUAGCGGUGAAAUGCGUAGAUAUAUGGAAGAACACCAGUGGCGAAGGGCGGCUGUCUGGUCUGUAACUGACGCUGAGGCUCGAAAGCAUGGGUAGCGAACAGGAUUAGAUACCCUGGUAGUCCAUGCCGUAAACGAUGAAUGCUAGGUGUUGGAGGGUUUCCGCCCUUCAGUGCCGCAGCUAACGCAUUAAGCAUUCCGCCUGGGGGAGUACGACCCGCAAGGUUGAAACUCAAAGGAAUUGACGGGGGCCCGCACAAGACGGUGGAGCAUGUGGUUUAAUUCGAAGCAACGCAAAGAACCACUUACCAGGUCUUGGACAUCCUUUUGGAUCACCUGAUGAGACUAAGGUUUCCCCUUCGGGGCCAAAAUGGACCAAGUGGGUGAAUGGUUGUCGAUCAGCUCGUGUCGUGAGAUGUUGGGUUAAGUCCCGCAACGAGCGCAACCCUUAUGACUAGUUGCCAGCAUUUAGUUGGGCACUCUAGUAAGACUGCCGGUGACAAACCGGAGGAAGGUGGGGAUGACGUCAAAUCAUCAUGCCCCUUAUGACCUGGGCUACACACGUGCUACAAUGGAUGGUACAACGAGUUGCGAGACCGCGAGGUCAAGCUAAUCUCUUAAAGCCAUUCUCAGUUCGGACUGUAGGCUGCAACUCGCCUACACGAAGUCGGAAUCGCUAGUAAUCGCGGAUCAGCACGCCGCGGUGAAUACGUUCCCGGGCCUUGUACACACCGCCCGUCACACCAUGAGAGUUUGUAACACCCGAAGCCGGUGGCGUAACCCUUUUAGGGAGCGAGCCGUCUAAGGUGACAAUAAUGGG
rnacentral:rRNA from 1 species